ensembl:lncRNA chitinase-like protein PB1E7.04c
UUCACAUUUCACGUGGUUAACAUCAGCAUGCCAGAAGACCCUGAUCUCAGAGGCGACACCUACCAGCAAGUGAAGGAUAUCAUCAAUGAUGCGCUGAACACUCUUCUGAAUGAACCUGGCAAGAUCGUUUUCGAACCCAAAUCUUCCAAUUUCACGAGCUCUUCAAACCAGAUUGAUGGCAGGAUGGACUACACCUUCCAGGAUGGAGAUGCCAUACAACCAGUCAGCUUCCUAAAUGAGCUACGUCUGCCAACCACUACAACAGUGCUUCCAGAAACAACAACAGGUUUCACUGUGACCCCUUCAAAUCUCAUACUUGGUUCAGCAGUGGUCACAAGCAAGCUGGUGUUCAACUCCUCAUCUCCAGUCCCCAGUGAAGCUCUGGUCCUCAGCGCUAUCAACACUCUCCGUAAUUCCAGAGAGACACAGCUCAGUGAAUCAGUGCAGGUGGUGAAUGUCACCUAUGAGAAAGUUUCGGAAUCUUCCUAUGCUGUCAUUUUAAAAUUUUAUAUGAGUGGCCUCAGCAUGCCAAGGGACUCUGGACUCAGAAACAACAUCUACCUGCAAGUACAGGAUACAAUCAAUAAAGCGCUAAACACUCUUCUGAACGAACCUAGCAGUCCAGCUUUACAACCCAUUUCAUCCAACUUCAAGAGUACAUUCAAUCAGAUUGAGGGCAGUAUGGAGUACAACUUCCAAGAUGCAGAUGUCAUAAAACCAGUCAAAUUCCUACAGGCGCUUAGUUCAUUGACAGUCUUAACAACAGCCAGUACUCUGACAUCAAGCAUAACUUCUCCACAAACAUUGUUGGGGAAGGCUUACAUAAAUAUUCGAUUGGUGUUUCACACACUGGGCCCAAUCCCUAGUAAGGAUUACAUUAUAAACCUGGCCAGCUCUACGCUCAACCCACGUUACAGAACUAAAGUAGACGCACCACCAACCCAGGGUACGAGCCUUGUGGAUAUCGGCUAUACAAAACUUAAUGAAACCUCCUAUGCUCUCACAUUUGAAUUUGAAAUCACUAAUAUAUCCAUGUCUGAGAAACGUGAACUAAGGAAUGAAACCUAUACUUCAAUCAAAAGCACUAUAAAUAAAUUGCUUGUCGACAUCCUAAAGGAUCCCUCAGCUUCUCAGUUUGAUCUGCAACACAUUGCAUUCGAUGGUAAUAGCACAGUGAUUCUGGCCAGUGUUCAGUAUGUUUUCUCAGAAAGUGACUUGAGCAUAAACAGCCCCUUUGUCAAGGAAAUGUUCAAAGCUAAGGAAGACUUAACGACAGCCAGUACUCUGACAAUAAGCACAUCUCCACCAAACGUGCUUGGGAAGGUGAUCAUAUACAUCAGCCUUGUGUUUAAAACACGGGGUACUAUCCCAAGUGAGAGUAACGUUGUAAAUGUGGCUAACACCCUGUUGUCUGGAAUGAAACUGAGAAUGAAACGAUCCCUCACAACAAAAGAUCUGACUAAGCUUGUGAACUUUGUGAAUGUCACCUAUACAAAAAUUGAUGACAACUCCUUCUCUCUGAACUUUGGAUUUGAAAUCAGCAAUGUGUCCAUGUCUGAAAGAGUUGAAUUCAGGAAUGAGACCUUCACAGUGAUUCAGGACUAUAUAAAUACAUUUGUGUCCAAGAUCCUGAAUAAAACAACAACUACUUACUUUAAUUUCAAUCAAAUCAAUUUCAAGGGUAACUCCUCCGUGAUUGAGGCCAACGUACAGUAUGUUUUCACAGACAGUGACAUCGACAGUUUCGGCUUGGUCUCUGCUUUCCUCGGACUUACUACAACAGCCACUCCAACCACCUAUUACCCCACAGUCCUGACCAGUACAAUCUUAAACAACAGUACAAACGUAGCAUGGAUUGUGGCUAUCAUUGUCCCCUGCGCUAUUGUCAUCGGGCUCGUACCUUGCUGGAUUCUCCUUUGCUGUUUGCUGUGUGGUUGCUGUGCAGCAAUCAGAAGACGUUGGCACAGAAGACGAUCAUACAAUGUACAGUACACAACUCGAAACAGCCUCUUCUAGAGAGUUCAGAGAUAUUUGACAAAAACAGGACUGACCACCAAUGAUAACAUAAAAAUCAUGGUUUUUGGAUAUUCAAAAUGCAAUUCAAUGCUGCCUCUUUUAAGGUAACGAAAGUACUAUGUCAAUGCUUAUAUUAUAAAUUAUUUAUUGUAUUAUGCCUGUAUUGCUAGACAAACAAGUGCUCUAUAAAAUGUUCCUAAAUGUGAUGUUUGAAUUCUUCCUAUAGUGUAUAAUGAAAUUGUAUUGUUCUUAUUUAUUUGUAUUUAUUGUAAUAUUCUGUUCAUCGUUUACAAUUAAUUAGCUUUUGCAAAUCAUUAGUCUGCUUGACAUAACGCAGUUUCAUUUAAAGGGACUAAGCUGGAACUUUGGAAUUACAGCUAUUAUUUCUUCAUACUCCAUGCACUUUAUAAUGUAAAGCAAAGGUAAAGCAAGCUCAUGCUGUAAAGGAAAUGUAAAGCAAAUGUAUGCAAGUAUUUGGCAUGGACAUGUUUAACUGCAAAAAACUGUAAUAAAAAUACUAGAUUAAUAAAGAAUACAGAACAAUA